GCCAGAGCAGGUGUGCCAAGCUACCAUGGAUUGUGCCUGUACUGUUGGUGCCCAGGAUGGGAUGGCUGUGGAGGCAGAGCUGGCUGAGCCCAUUAGCAAAUCUGCUUUCCCUGGUAGGAUCCUUUGUGCCUGGAGGUGCCUCCCAGACUGCUCUCCCGGGGACCUGCAGAGGCAACCUGCCCUUCGGUGUCUGCUGGAGGAACAAGGGGAGAGAGGGAAGAAGAGAUCACACCAUCUGUUGGAUCCAUAUAUUACAACAUUUGAGUCAAGAGAAACUGAGUUUGGUCCUUGGAUGCCUCAAGGAGCUGUGUGACAGCAUAGAUGUUCUCCUUAAGCCUUUUUUCAUCUGUGCCUCCCCUCUUCACUGCCUGCUGCACCAUCCCCAAGCUUGUUCAGGACACCACUUGCCAAAUCUCAGCCAGAUCAGCCGGCUGAACCCAUCCUCACUCUUUCGCCUGUGGGGAGAGAAAGAGGUAAUAAAGCUCCUCCAAAAUAGAAGCCAUUCUUUUAAGUCU
rnacentral:lncRNA from 1 species